rnacentral:misc_RNA from 1 species
GAAAUGCGAUAAGUAAUGUGAAUUGCAGAAUUCAGUGAAUCAUCGAAUCUUUGAACGCACAUUGCGCCCCCUGGUAUUCCUAGGGGCAUGCCUGUUCGAGCGUCAUUAUGACCAAUCCCGUAAGGGGUUUUGGGGUCCGCGGUUCGCUGCGGCCCUUAAAAUCAGUGACGGCGCCAGCGGUGCUCUCAGCGUAGUAAUACUCCUCGCUUGGGAACCACGGUGGAUGCUUGCCAGCAACCAAUUUUUUUUUUAAAAGGUUGACCUCGGAUCAGGUAGGGAUACCCGCUGAACUUAA